rnacentral:rRNA from 1 species
GAGUAACACGUGAGCAACCUGCCCUUGACUCUGGAAUAACAGUUGGAAACAGCUGCUAAUACCGGAUAUGACCUCUGACGACAUCGUCUGGAGGUGGAAAGCUCCGGCGGUCAAGGAUGGGCUCGCGGCCUAUCAGAUUGUUGGUGAGGUAACGGCUCACCAAGGCUUCGACGGGUAGCCGGCCUGAGAGGGCGACCGGCCACACUGGGACUGAGAUACGGCCCAG